rnacentral:rRNA from 1 species
UACGUAGGGACCAAGCGUUGUUCGGAUUUACUGGGCGUAAAGGGCGCGUAGGCGGCGUGACAAGUCACUUGUGAAAUCUCUGGGCUUAACCCAGAACGGCCAAGUGAAACUGUUGUGCUAGAGUGCAGAAGGGGCAAUCGGAAUUCUCGGUGUAGCGGUGAAAUGCGUAGAUAUCGAGAGGAACACCAGAGGUGAAGACGGGUUGCUGGGCUGACACUGACGCUGAUGCGCGAAAGCUAGGGGAGCGAACGGG